rnacentral:rRNA from 1 species
UACGUAGGGGGCUAGCGUUGUCCGGAAUCAUUGGGCGUAAAGCGCGUGUAGGCGGUUCGGUAAGUCCGCUGUGAAAGUCGGGGGCUCAACCCUCGAAUGCCGGUGGAUACUGUCGGGCUAGAGUGCGGAAGAGGCGAGUGGAAUUCCUGGUGUAGCGGUGAAAUGCGCAGAUAUCAGGAGGAACACCAAUGCGAAGGCAGCUCGCUGGGACGUUACUGACGCUGAGACGCGAAAGCGUGGGGAGCAAACAGG